rnacentral:rRNA from 1 species
UCGCAGUCCUCGGUCUAGGCAGGCAGCAUCAACGCAGGCUAUAACACUUCACCGAAGUAAAGUCACAUUCCUACGCCAUUAUCCUACCGCCCAAACCGAUGCUGGCCCGAUAAGCUGCGGGUCACCCCGCCACGAAGGCAAGGCUCACAAAAUAUCGAGUCUGAUCUCAAACCCUUCCCUUUCAACAAUUUCACGUACUUUUUCACUCUCUUUUCAAAGUUCUUUUCAUCUUUCCAUCACUGUACUUGUUCGCUAUCGGUCUCUCGCCAAUAUUUAGCUUUAGAUGGAAUUUACCACCCACUUAGAGCUGCAUUCCCAAACAACUCGACUCUUCGAAAGCACCUUACAUAGAAUUGGGCAUCUCAUCGCACGGGAUUCUCACCCUCUGUGACGUCCUGUUCCAAGAAACAUAGACAAGAGCCAACCCCAAGGUUACAAUCUUCAAAUUACAACUCGGACACCGAAGGCGCCAGAUUUCAAAUUUGAGCUUUUGCCGCU